AGCAAUGGAUGCCAACAUUGGAAACAGAGGCAGAGCCAGAGGAGUGAGAGGACGAGGACGAGGAAGACCAAGGACCGUAAUCUCUGAUGAGAUCCGAGCCACUUUGGUUGAUCAUGUGGUCAACCAUGGUCUUACAAUGAGGGAGGCUGGACAAAGAGUGCAGCCAAACUAGAGCAGGUACACUGUGGCAUCCAUCAUCCGGACCUUCCGGAAUGAGAAUAGAACUGAAAGAUUACCGACACGAGGAAGUCGGGAACGUCUUCUGUCUCCUGAACAGGAAGCUGAGAUCCUCAACAUGGUGCUGGACAACAAUGCCAUAACAUUACAACAAAUACAAAGAAAUUAUAGAAAACAACGACAUGUUUCUAAAUAUUGAUAGUCAGCUUAGCAACUCUGGACCGUGUCUGGGCCGAAAUCAUCUCAGGAUGAAGCAGCUCUACAGGCUGCCAUUUGAACGAAACUCAGAAAGAGUCAAAGAACUGUGAUAUAACUGUGUGCAAAGAGUCCCUGAGCUAGAGACAGCUGCAGUGGAGCACCAGCUCAUCUUCAUUGAUGAGGUUGGGUUCAACCUCACAAAAAGACGAAGGAGGGGAAGGAAUAUCAUUGGCCAGCGUGCCGUUGUUGAAGUCCCUGGCUAGCGCGGAGGGAACAUCACAAUGUGUGCAGCGCUUGGCUACCACGGCAUCAUCCAUCACCAUGCUACCCUUGGCCCCUACAACUCCGCCCAUCUGAUCACAUUCCUGGACACCCUACACAACACACUCAUCCCACCAGACCAGGUAGAUGGUCCAGAACAGCCCAGGUAUGUUGUCAUUCGGGACAACGUAAGUUUCCACAGGGCUGCUGUGGUUCAUAACCGGUUCAAUCCCAUUGAGGAAUUUUUUCUGCCUGGAGAUGGAAGGUGUAUGACCGACAGUCACAAACCCGUAUACCUCUUCUCCAAGCUAUGGAGGACGCGUGUGGAGAUAUAGCAGCUGAUUAUUUCAUGGCUGGAAUCGCCAUGCUAGGAGAUAUUUCCCCCGCUGCUUGGCCAGGGACAACGUUGCUGGUGAUGUGGAUGAGGCGCUGUGGUCAGACCGCAACAGAAGAGAGGAUGCAGCAUAGUUUUAUUGUUUUACUGUAACUGUACACAGUCAAUUCUUCUGUUGGAUGUAGUGUAUGUGUGCAACUUUGUGUUGGUGGCGAAUGGGAUGAACAUUGUGUACAAUGUUUUGUGGGAAAAAUAAAGUAAUUUCUACCAUG